rnacentral:rRNA from 1 species
UACAGAGGUCUCAAGCGUUGUUCGGAUUCAUUGGGCGUAAAGGGUGUGUAGGUGGCGCGCUAAGUCGGGUGUGAAAUUUCGGAGCUUAACUCCGAAACUGCAUUCGAUACUGGCGUGCUUGAGGACUGGAGAGGAGACGUAGGAAUUCAUGGUGUAGCAGUGAAAUGCGUAGAGAGUCAUGAGGAAGACCAGUGGCGAAGGCGGGUCUCUGGGCAACAACUGACGCUGAGGAGCGAAAGCGUGGGGAGCGAACAGG